rnacentral:tRNA from 1 species
GGGGAUGUGGCUCAGUGGUAGAGUGCUUGCCUUGCAUGCAUGAGACCCUGGGUUCAAUCCCUAGCACACCCA